rnacentral:rRNA from 1 species
GGGCAGCAACUGGACUUCGGUCUGGUGGCUGAUGGCGAACGGGUGAGUAAUGUAUCGGAACGUGCCUAGUAACGGGGAUAACUGCGCGAAAGCGUAGCUAAUACUGCAUCACGCGCCGGGGAAAACGGGGACCUUCGGGCCUCGCACUAUUAAACGGCCGAUAUCGGGAUGCGCCAGUUGGUGGGGUAACGGCUCACCAAAGCGGCAGUCGUAGCUGGUUUGAGAGGACGACCAGCCACACUGGGACUGGGUGACCAGACUCUGGGAGCAGCGGUGGGAGGUACGGACGUGGAAACCUUCAGUCAGCCAUCCCAUGUGUGUGAUGAAGGAGGCCUUCGGGUUGUAAAGCACUUUUGGCAGGAAAGAAACGGCGCAGGGUGUACCGUCGCGGCGAGCGAACGCCUGUGCGGUCAGCACCGGCUAACUACGUGCCAGCAGCCGCGGUAAUACGUAGAAGAUUCUGCUGGCGAUUAAUCGGAAUUACUGGGCGUAAAGCGUGCGCAGGCGGUUCAGGAAAGAAAGAUGUGAAAUCCCAGAGCUUAACUUUGGAACUGCAUUUUUAACUACCGAGCUAGAGUGUAUGUCAGGAGGUGGAAUUCCGCGGUAUGAGCAUUGAAAUGCGUAGAUAUGCGGAGGAACACCGAUGGCGAAGGCAGCCUCUGGGAUAACACUGACGCUCAUGCACGAAAAGCGUGGGGAGCAAACCGGAUUACGGAAUACCCUGGCUGGUCACGCCUAAACGAUGUCAACUAGCUGUUUAGGCCUUCGGGCCUUGGUAGCGCAACUAACGCGUGAAGUUGACCGCCUGGGAAGUACGGUCGCAAGAUUGUAAAACUCGGAAAAGAAUUGGCAGGACCCACCACAAGCAGUGGAUAGUGUGGAUUAAUUCGAUGCAACGCGAAAAACCGCCACCUACCCUUGACAUGUCACAGAAUCCCAGGGUUUGGAGUCUCGCCGGAAGACCGGAACACAGGUGCUGCAUGGCUGUCGUCAGCUCGUGUCGUGAGAUGUUGGGUUAAGUCCGCAACGAAGCGCGACGUCGUAGUUGCUACGAAAGGGCACUCUAAUGAGACUGCCGGUGACAAACCGGAGGAAGGUGGGGAUGACGUCUGAGAUCCUCAUGGCCCUUAUGGGUAGAGGCCACUACACACGAUAUACAAUGGUCGGGACAGAGGGUCAGCAACUGAACGCGAGAGGCAAUCCCCGAAGCCGAUCGUAGUCCGGAUCGCAGUCACAACUCGUAAGCGGAGAAGUCGGAAUCGCUAGUAGUCGCGGAUCAGCAUGUCGCGGUGAAUACGUUCCCGGGUCUUGUACACACCGCCCGUCACACCAUGGGGGUGGUUUUACCCGUGGAUCACAGCCUAACCGUAAGGAGGGCGAUUACCACGGAAGCAAGUUCAUGACUGGGGUAAGUCGUAACAAGGUAA